rnacentral:rRNA from 1 species
ACGGGAGGCAGCAGUGGGGAAUAUUGGACAAUGGGGGAAACCCUGAUCCAGCGACGCCGCGUGAGUGAAGAAGUAUUUCGGUAUGUAAAGCUCUAUCAGCAAGGAAGAAAAUGACGGUACCUGACUAAGAAGCCCCGGCUAACUACGUGCCAGCAGCCGCGGUAAUACGUAGGGGGCAAGCGUUAUCCGGAUUUACUGGGUGUAAAGGGAGCGUAGACGGCAUAGCAAGUCUGAAGUGAAAGGCAGGGGCUCAACCCCUGGACUGCUUUGGAAACUGUUAAGCUAGAGUGCAGGAGAGGUAAGUGGAAUUCCUAGUGUAGCGGUGAAAUGCGUAGAUAUUAGGAGGAACACCAGUGGCGAAGGCGGCUUACUGGGCCGUAACUGACGCUGAGGCGCGAAAGCGUGGGGAGCGAACAGGAUUAGAUACCCUGGUA